rnacentral:tRNA from 9 species
GUCCGGGUGGCGGAAUUGGCAGACGCGCUAGCUUGAGGUGCUAGUGCCCUUUAUCGGGCGUGGGGGUUCAAGUCCCCCCUCGGACA